AGGUACUUGGACAUUAUCCCAUUAUUUUAUAUUGUUGAAGUUAAGAAGCUCAGAUAGUUAAGUAAAUAGUAAUUUAUUUAUCUUGGAAUUUAUUUAAGAAAGGGUCAAAGGACCAAGUCAUUCAACUUUCAAUUCAGUGAUCUAUUCGCUCAAAAUUUGGACCAUCAAAUAGCUCAACCCAAUAUUUUUCCAGUGACCCGGUCCAUUCUAAAGCUCAAAAUUUUCCAUACUCUUCUCCUCCUCAUUCUCAAUACAGAGAUGCAAGAACAGAACAAACCAAAGAAGAAAACCAUUCCCCAAUUCCCAGCCUCAAUUUACUCUUCUCUCCCUCGAAUUCGUACAAUCUACGUGCUUAGCAUGAGCGAAAAGACACGCAGAGCUUCCGGAGACAACCAUGGUGUGGUCCUUCUUAAUUUCCUUUUUGUCUUCGUUUUUCGCCUCAAAUUCGUACACUCUCCAGCUCAUACACUUUAUCCACUAUGAAAAUGGGAGAUUUCAGCCUCUCCCACAUCGUUUCUCAAACGAUUUUGAAUUUGCAACAGUUCCACAUCGAGAUUUCAUUUUAUUUUGGGAUUUUUGGGUUUCUAUAUAAACCCAUUCCAUUCACUGUUUAAAGGAGGAUUUUUGGAGAUCAAAGAGUACCCAUAGAGGUCUUGGGAAUUCUUGGUUCCAUAGUUUGUGGCUUUUGUGGCUAUUCGAGUUUAGAGAGGUGGUGGAAUCGUCUUCGUUAAACUGUCAUCCGGUUCGCUGCCGAAAAGAGGUUUUUAUCUUACGAAUUUGAGUACUUCACUUCUCAUUCACAUCAUCAUGUAAGUAAUAAGUAUGAUGUUCGUUUCACAAAAAUAUAAUAUAAUCUGUAAGAAAAUACCGAUAUGUAUGAAAAUUUUUUGUAGGGAAUAAA